ACUUACUUAAUGCAGGGUGGGUCGGAUGUCCUAUCACUGCGGUGGAUGUAUAGGUAUGUAUUCUCUGCAUUUUAAACUCGCAGCUAGCGUCCGAUGCACACUUUCACCGCACUGACUCUAAUAAGAAAACUGAAACAAGCCAUCUUUGUGAUCGCUGCUUGGGCACCAUGGGGCUGCUGGGUGUAUCACGAAGAUCUCAUCGAGGCAGCCACCAUAGCACAAGUAAAGACACACAGCAGAGGAACUCCACAGCUGCUUCAGCGUAGCAAGAAGGAUGGGAUAAGCGUGUUUCGACCAAGCCUCACAAGUGAGGCCGUACGGCACGAAGUGGGCCUUGUUUCAGUGCGGUUUGCUCAUGGACUUUGACACGAUGGACACCGGGCCAGAUAGGACGAUCCGUCUAGUUGCAAGCAGAGCUCCAGCAUCGUUCACCAGUAACUGCAUGGGAGGUGCUUAAUUUCUUUGACCCUUCUUUAUCAAUAAAGUUAGACAUUUAGCACGAGGAGUAACUCACACGCCUUUCAGAGCUAAUGCUUCAUUUAUAUAUUAAAGUAUUACAAAACAAAAUAAUACCCUUAAAAGCAUGAUAAAUAACUCAAAAGAAAUGUGCUCCUUUAUAACCAUGUUAAAAAUAAAUUCAUAUGAUGUUCUCAAACAGAAUCACUUUUGUAGAAUUUGAUGGAAUUAAUUCUCCAUUUUGAUGGUGAAGCUGAACAUUUAUGGAUCAUCCAGAAGAUUUGUCUCCUAAGAAUUUCAGAUGGGGUGUUAAAAAAAAUCCAGCUGAGAUUUAAUAAACAGUAGCCUCCACUGUUGCUUUAUUUUACUGAGUUUAUAGAAAUUGAAAACAUGAAGGUACGGUAAUAGGACAUGAAAUUUAUUUUUAAAUUUUUUCAUUAACAUGUUCACAAAGUGUACUGAAUGUAUUCAUUGGGGGCUGGUGUAUAUACAGGUCACACCUUGAUCUUUUUUACUUCCCCUUUCCCACCCCUUCCUCAUGUCUUCCCUUACCCCUCUAGCCCCUUCCCAUGUAACAGUUGACAACCACCUCUAAAAUUGCAGUCAUCUAAGAAAUCUACUUAGUUGCUGUGUGUCGUGCUUGCUGGUGAUAGAGUUAGCCUGAUUUAGGUCCCUUUCCUUCUGAAAGCAUUAUUUGAAAUAUUCAUCCAGACUCUGAGUAUCAUUGUUCUCACAAGUUUGUCUUCUCCAAAAUCAGAGGGACUCAGGGAAGAAAGAUGGAGUCACUCGUGUGAGUCUCAGCCCUAUCCUUGUUUUUAAAUAACUUUGUGACCCCAGGCAAACCACCCGCCUCUCUGAACGUCCAUGUCCUGAUUCGCUAACAAUGAGGCACCUGGGACAUUCGACAACAUCAGUGGUCCCUCUAUGCCCUCCAACAUUGUGGCAGAACCACCUCUGGAGGGGUGAAAUGUUUCAGAUGUUGUUCUAGACGAAAUGCUUGUGUCUUCCCAAACUCUAUGCUGAAAUCUCAACCCCUAUUGUGAUGGUAGUAGGAAGUGCGGUCUUUGGGAGGUGGCUAAGCCACAGGGUGGAGCCCUCACAAAUGGAGUUAGAGACCCCAGAGUGCUCCUUGUCCCUUGAUCAUGUGAGUAUAUACCCAAAAGGCACCAUCCACAAGGCAGGCAUGGGCCUACCACAGACAUUACAUCUGCUGGCACCUUGAUUUUACAUUGCCCAGUCUUCAGAGCUGUGAGAAAAUAAAUUUUUCUUAAGCCACCCAGCCUCCAAUGUCUUUGUUGUAGCCACCUAGAUGAACUAAUACAAAUAUGCAUCUUACUACCUGCAUCCAAAUGUAACUUUCAAAUUUCUCAGAGCUCAAACGUAUACUGGCGAAAUCUCACAAGGAUGAUGAAGCAUUUCAUGAGGGGUAUGUUUUAAAAUGUUUGCCCAUAAUUAUCAUCUCCACCCAUCUGCAAAGGAAAUGUCUUUCUUAGACCACAGGAAGUGACCAUGUGGGGCACGCGGAGAAAGUCUAGUGUGCAGAAGACCACUGGUAACACAUAAAGGUUUUAACUAAAAGAGAAAUGUAACCACUGCCUUCUGUGCAUAUUUGCUUAUCAGGAGAACAUACAUAUUCACUUAUCAGAAUAUAACAGCUAAUAACUGAAUAUAUAUAUAUAUAUAUGAAGAGGGAGAGAGAAAGAUUUAAAAAGAAGACAAAAUAUUCCGGCCUGAAUUGGAGGUUACACAUCACAUUUCACGGGCCUUAACAACAUGCAAAUUAUAAAUAAGUUUUUGAGUUUUCUUCUUGUGAAGGGAAGAUUAUUUUGCGGGGCUCUUGAUGUGCCAUAUGCUACAGAGCAGCAUCUAUGACUUCAGAGAUCACACAUUUGAGCACAACAGUGAGAGAAGAUUUAUAUUCAGAGUUUGUAGUCUUUUUAAAACCGGAGACAAAGAGAUCUCAAGUUAAGUCAACAGAACAGAUCUCACUUCUAUCCAAAAAAAUCUAUCAAACUACAUAGAAGAGACAAUUUUUAGUAAUUUACAGGUAGCUCAUAUCUCUUGAAUAGAGAGACAUGGAUCUAAAAAUGAACACUCCAAUCUGUCACUGUUGUGUUGGUUUUGAACAGCCCUGAUGGAGUCAUUUUCAAUGAGAUUUAAGAACAAUGUUGCCAAUGUCUUUUCCUGAAGACUAAUUUAUGCAUAAUUAAGAUCAACUCUUUUCAUUGGAAUCUUAAUUUAGGAAACAAAAGAGCUUUCAUAAUAUUUUUAGAGAAUGCAAAACUCUAUCUUCAUUUUCUUUCAUAUUAUAAGAAAAAGGGUCAGUCUUUAUGUUACUUAGCAAUCAUCCAUGGAACUGAAAGAUAAUUUACCUAUUGUCACAAAGAGAUAGAUCAAUUAGAAAAAAAAUCAGCAAAGAAAUAAAAGAAUUGAACCAAACUUGUGAACAAAUGGACUUAGCAGACGUUUACAGAAUGUUCCACACAACAUCAGAACACACAUUCUUCUCUGCUGCACAUGGGACAUUCUCUAAAACAGACCACAUACUAGCCCAUAAAACCAUGCUUAAUUAAAUGUAAAGGAACUGAAAUUAUCCAAUGCUUAUUAUCUGCCCAGAGUGCAAUGAAAUUGGAAAAUAAUAACAAAAGAAACUCCAAAAACUCCAUAAACACAUGGAAAUUAAGUAUUACCAUCCUGCACAACCAAUAGGUCACAGAUGCAAUUAAAGAAGAAAUUAAGCAAUAGCUACAAUCAAACAAAAAUGCAACUACAACUUAGAACCUGUGGGAUGCAAUGAAAGCAGUCCUAAGAGGGAAAUUUAUAACAGUGAAUUUUCACAUAGGGAAAACAGAAGGAGCACAAAUAAACAACCUUAUGCUGCACCUCAGACUUCUAAAGAAGAGCAAGUCAAGCCCCAAGCCCACAGAACGAGGACAUUAUAAAGAUCAGAGCAGAAAUUAAUGACCUGAGAUUAAGAAAACAAUACAAAGAGUUGAGUCAAAGAGUUUGUUCUUUGAAAGAAUAAAUAAAGUUGAUAAACCCCUAACAUUAUCAAAAAAGGAAAGAAAAAACCCAAAUUUAUGCAAUGCAGAAUGAAAAUGAUAAAAUCACUACAAGCUGGGCAUGGUGGUGCACCCCUGUAGUCUCAGCACUCAGGA
rnacentral:lncRNA from 1 species